GGGGAUGACGGGCUUCGACAGCGCGCAUUCUCACGGGUUGCGAGCCGAGCUUGGAUACCUCGUAAAAAUAUUCAAAAAAACAAAUAACUGCCAAUAAAACAGCAGUUCCCGCGUUCGCAUACGCUUAAGCGCGGGCAUCGGCCCUUGAUAGUUCCAUAGAGGACAGCCGGUGUAAUAAUGGAAAUCGUUCCCUGGUAGAGUUCCGCUUCCCGCUCUCCGGAAACUAAAUUUUAGAGAAGCGAUUUCUUUCUUUUUGAAAGUACGCUCGUAGAUUGUCCGUGUAUAAUCGUGUUGGACGCCGGUUCAACUCCGGCCAUCUCCACCA
rnacentral:tmRNA from 2 species